GAUGAACGCUGGCGGCGUGCCUAAUACAUGCAAGUCGAGCGAACAGACGAGGAGCUUGCUCCUCUGACGUUAGCGGCGGAAGGGUGAGUAACACGUGGAUAACCUACCUAUAAGACUGGGAUAACUUCGGGAAACCGGAGCUAAUACCGGAUAAUAUAUUGAACCGCAUGGUUCAAUAGUGAAAGACGGUUUUGCUGUCACUUAUAGAUGGAUCCGCGCCGCAUUAGCUAGUUGGUAAGGUAACGGCUUACCAAGGCAACGAUGCGUAGCCGACCUGAGAGGGUGAUCGGCCACACUGGAACUGAGACACGGUCCAGACUCCUACGGGAGGCAGCAGUAGGGAAUUUUCCGCAAUGGGCGAAAGCCUGACGGAGCAACGCCGCGUGAGUGAUGAAGGUCUUCGGAUCGUAAACCUCUGUUAUUAGGGAAGAACAAAUGUGUAAGUAACUAUGCACGUCUUGACGGUACCUUAUCAGAAAGCCACGGCUAACUACGUG
rnacentral:rRNA from 1 species